UGGGGAAUAUUGCACAAUGGGCGAAAGCCUGAUGCAGCGACGCCGCGUGAGGGAUGACGGCCUUCGGGUUGUAAACCUCUUUCAGUAGGGACGAAGCGCAAGUGACGGUACCUGCAGAAGAAGCACCGGCUAACUACGUGCCAGCAGCCGCGGUAAUACGUAGGGUGCGAGCGUUGUCCGGAAUUACUGGGCGUAAAGAGCGCGUAGGCGGUUUGUCACGUCGUCUGUGAAAUCCUAGGGCUUAACCCUGGACGUGCAGGCGAUACGGGCUGACUUGAGUACUACAGGGGAGACUGGAAUUUCUGGUGUAGCGGUGGAAUGCACAGAUAUCAGGAAGAACACCGAUGGCGAAGGCAGGUCUCUGGGUAGUAACUGACGCUGAGGAGCGAAAGCAUGGGUAGCGAACAGG
rnacentral:rRNA from 1 species